CCUACGGGAGGCAGCAGUCGGGAAUAUUGCUCAAUGGGGGAAACCCUGACGCAGCAACGCCGCGUGGAGGAUGAAGGUUUUCGGAUUGUAAACUCCUUUUGUUAGAGAAGAUAAUGACGGUAUCUAAUGAAUUAGCACCCGCUUACUCCGUGCCAGUAGCCGCGGUAAUACGGAGGGUGCAAGCGUUACUCGGAAUCACUGGGCGUAAAGAGCGCGUAGGCGGGAGAGCAAGUCAGAUGUGAAAUCCUCUGGCUUAACCAGAGAACUGCAUUUGAAACUGUUAUUCUAGAGUAUGGGAGAGGUAAGUGGAAUUCUUGGUGUAGGGGUAAAAUCCGUAGAGAUCAAGAGGAAUACUCGUUGCGAAGGCGACCUGCUAGAACAUAACUGACGCUGAUGCGCGAAAGCGUGGGGAGCAAACAGGAUUAGAUACCCUUGUAGUC
rnacentral:rRNA from 1 species